CUCGAAAAUGUUAAAGUUCUUAUUUCAUGGUAUAACUUUGGUAUGCUUGGACCUAGAGUCUUCAAACUUGACAUGAAGGUUGGCCAGGAUUAACAGAUGACCACUGGUCGUUUCAAGGUCAUUCAUUUGAAGGUGAAGGUCACUGUGACCUUCAAUAUAAAAAUGUUAAAGUUGUUAUAACUUUGGUAUGCUUGGACCUAGAGUCUUGAAACUUGACAUGAAGGUUGGCCAGAACUAGUAAGUAACCACUGGACAUUUCAAGGUCAUUCAUUUGAAGGUCAAGGUCACUGUGACCUUGAAUGUAAAAAUGUUAAAGUUGUUAUAACUUUGGUAUGCUUGGACCUAGAGUCUUGAAACUUGACAUGAAGGUUGGCCAGAACUAGUAAGUAACCACUGGACAUUUCAAGGUCAUUCAUUUGAAGGUCAAGGUCACUGUGACCUUGAAUGUAAAAAUGUUAAAGUUCUUAUUUCAUGUUAUAACUUUGGUAUGCUUGUACCUAGAGUCUUCAAACUUGAAAUAAAGAUUGGCCAGUACUAGAAGAUGACCACUGGUCAUUUCAAUGUCAUUCAUUUGAAGGUCAAGGUCACUGUGACCUUAAAUGUUAAAAUGUUAAAAUUGUUAUAACUUUGGUAUGCUUGGACAUAGAGUCUUCAAACUUGACAUGAAGGUUUGCAAGCACACUUAGAUGACCACUGGUCAUUUCAAGGUCAUUCAUUCUAAGGUCAAGGUCACUGUGACCUUGAAUGUAAAAAUGUUAAAGUUCUUAUAACUUUGGUAGGUAAAAAUGUUAAAGUUCUUAUUCCAUGUUAUAACUUUGGUAUGCUUGUACCUAGAGUCUUCAAACUUGACAUAAAGGUUGGCCAGUACUAGAAGAUCACCACUGCUCAUUUCAAUGUCAUUCAUUUGAAGGUCAAGGUCACUGUGACCUUCAAUGUUAAAAUGUUAAAAUUGUUAUAACUUUGGUAUGCUUGGACCUAGAAUCUCAAACUUGACGUAAAGGUUUGCAAGCACACUUAGAUGACCACUGGUCAUUUCAAGGUCAUUCAUUUCAAUGUCAUUCAUUUGAAGGUCAAGGUCACUGUGAACUUAAAUGUUAAAAUGUUAAAAUUGUUGUAACUUUGGUAUGCUUGGACCUAGAAUCUCAAACUUGACGUAAAGGUUUGCAAGCACACUUAGAUGACCACUGGUCAUUUCAAGGUCAUUCAUUUGAAGGUCGAGGUCACUGUGACCUUGGAUGUAAAUAUGUUAAAGUUGUUAAUACUUUGGUAUGCUUAGACCUAGAGUCUUCAAACUUGAUAUGAAGGUUGGCCAGAACUAGUAGAUGACCACUGGUCAUUUUAAGGUCAAGGUCACCGUGACCUUGAAUGUAAAAAUGUUAAAA